UGGGGAAUAUUGCACAAUGGACGGAAGUCUGAUGCAGCAACGCCGCGUGCGGGAUGACGGCCUUCGGGUUGUAAACCGCUUUUUCUCAUGACGAAGUUUUUUGACGGUAGUGGGGGAAGAAGCACCGGCUAACUACGUGCCAGCAGCCGCGGUGAUACGUAGGGUGCGAGCGUUGUCCGGAAUUAUUGGGCGUAAAGAGCUUGUAGGCGGUUUGUCGCGUCGAUAGUGCAAACUCAGUGCUUAACGCUGAGCCUGCUGUUGAUACGGGCAGACUAGAGGAAGGUAGGGGAGAAUGGAAUUCCCGGUGGAGCGGUGGAAUGCGCAGAUAUCGGGAGGAACACCGGCGGCGAAGGCGGUUCUCUGGGCCUUUCCUGACGCUGAGAAGCGAAAGCGUGGGGAGCGAACAGG
rnacentral:rRNA from 1 species